rnacentral:rRNA from 1 species
UACGUAGGGGGCAAGCGUUAUCCGGAUUUACCGGGUGUAAAGGGGGCGCAGACGGCGAUGCAAGCCAGGAGUGAAAGCCCGGGGCCCAACCCCGGGACUGCUCUUGGAACUGCGUGGCUGGAGUGCAGGAGGGGCAGGCGGAAUUCCUGGUGUAGCGGUGAAAUGCGUAGAUAUCAGGAGGAACACCGGUGGCGAAGGCGGCCUGCUGGACUGCAACUGACGUUGAGGCCCGAAAGCGUGGGGAGCAAACAGG